UCUGGGACAAGCCCUGGAAACGGGGUCUAAUACCGGAUAACACCUGCCCGGGCAUCCGGGUGGGUUAAAAGCUCCGGCGGUGAAGGAUGAGCCCGCGGCCUAUCAGCUUGUUGGUGAGGUAGUGGCUCACCAAGGCGACGACGGGUAGCCGGCCUGAGAGGGCGACCGGCCACACUGGGACUGAGACACGGCCCAGACUCCUACGGGAGGCAGCAGUGGGGAAUAUUGCACAAUGGGCGAAAGCCUGAUGCAGCGACGCCGCGUGAGGGAUGACGGCCUUCGGGUUGUAAACCUCUUUCAGCAGGGAAGAAGCGAAAGUGACGGUACCUGCAGAAGAAGCGCCGGCUAACUACGUGCCAGCAGCCGCGGUAAUACGUAGGGCGCAAGCGUUGUCCGGAAUUAUUGGGCGUAAAGAGCUCGUAGGCGGCUUGUCACGUCGGGUGUGAAAGCCCGGGGCUUAACCCCGGGUCUGCAUUCGAUACGGGCUAGCUAGAGUGUGGUAGGGGAGAUCGGAAUUCCUGGUGUAGCGGUGAAAUGCGCAGAUAUCAGGAGGAACACCGGUGGCGAAGGCGGAUCUCUGGGCCAUUACUGACGCUGAGGAGCGAAAGCGUGGGGAGCGAACAGGAUUAGAUA
rnacentral:rRNA from 1 species